CGGACGGGUGAGUAACGCGUGGGUAACCUGCCUUAUACAGGGGGAUAACAGUCAGAAAUGGCUGCUAAUACCGCAUAAGCGCACAGAGCUGCAUGGCUCAGUGUGAAAAACUCCGGUGGUAUAAGAUGGACCCGCGUUGGAUUAGCUUGUUGGUGGGGUAACGGCCCACCAAGGCGACGAUCCAUAGCCGGCCUGAGAGGGUGAACGGCCACAUUGGAACUGAGACACGGUCCAAACUCCUACGGGAGGCAGCAUG
rnacentral:rRNA from 1 species